AAUUAUAUUUGUGAAAUAUAUUAAAUCAGAAGUUACUCGAAGAAUAAGAUAAUAAUGGUUUAAUUACUCGAUCAACUACUCGUUUCUAUGUAAUGAGCUCGGUUUCAAUUUAUCUACAGGGUCGUUCGCUCGCACGUUUCUUCGUAUUUCGUGGACAUCGAGUUUACAUCGGAGAUGCUUGAGAUUUUUGGCGGUCAUCCAAAUAAAAUGAGAGGAGGAAAGGAAGACAGAGAUACACGGAAGGAAUAACAGAGGAUAGACGAUUCUUGAUCGUUCUCCAAAAGGUAAACGAGCCGCGAGGUCGCGUUCCUCUUGCUCCGUUCUCCGGUCGUCGUGAUGACCUUGAGGCUCGUUUCCCUGUUCCGCAUUCUAAAAAUAUUUACCCGC